rnacentral:lncRNA from 1 species
UAUGAUCCAACUUAUAUUUUUAUAUUUUCACAGGUACAGUGAUUCAACCAGUCAAGCAUGGGAGCUGUCGAGCUUGACUCAUAAGGCCGACAACAUCCAUGGCCUCCUUAAGCAGCAGCUUGCCAUCUGCUACCUGCAUAUAGGUACGUACAUCGUGCUAAAAGUUUAUGGGAUGUAACAUUAUAAGGAAUACGAAUGACAAUUACAGAGAAUCACAAGAUAUGUAAUAUGUCAGAUGAGAAGAAGCAUGAAGAAGCAUACCAAAUUCUGGUGCGCCUAUUCAAAACACAUCAACUAGACAACAUGAAGAUACUCAAGUCGCUCAUCUACCCCAAUGAUGAUCAGCAACCACUGUUCCACGGUGCCACCAAGACAAAGGUUCAUUAAUUCACACCUGUAAUUUGUAUUUGGCAGUCACAAAAAGUGGACAGAUUAACUUUACUCUGUAACAGGUUCAUGUUGAAGUACUUAAGAGGAAGCAUGUCCUGCUACUGAUAUCAGAUAUGCGCAUCUCGAACGAAGAGGUUAUGGUGCUAGCUCAUAUGUACACAGAGGCACAGGAUACUUCAGAGUUCCAC